AUUGAACGCUGGCGGCAUGCCUUACACAUGCAAGUCGAACGGUAACAGGUCUUCGGAUGCUGACGAGUGGCGAACGGGUGAGUAAUACAUCGGAACGUGCCUAGUAGUGGGGGAUAACUACUCGAAAGAGUGGCUAAUACCGCAUGAGAUCUACGGAUGAAAGCAGGGGAUCGCAAGACCUUGUGCUACUAGAGCGGCCGAUGGCAGAUUAGGUAGUUGGUGGGAUAAAAGCUUACCAAGCCGACGAUCUGUAGCUGGUCUGCGAGGACGAUCAGCCACACUGGGACUGAGACACGGCCCAGACUCCGACGGGAGGCAGCAGUGGGGAAUUUUGGACAAUGGGCGCAAGCCGGAUCCAGCAAUGCCGCGUGGAGGAUGAAGGCCUUCGGGUUGUAAACUGCUUUUGUACGGAACGAAAAGCCCUGGGUUAAUACCCUGGGGUCAUGACGGUACCGUAAGAAUAAGCACCGGCUAACUACGUGCCAGCCGCCGCCGUAA
rnacentral:rRNA from 1 species